AGUGAACGCUGGCGGUAGGCCUAACACAUGCAAGUCGAACGGCAGCACAGUAAGAGCUUGCUCUUACGGGUGGCGAGUGGCGGACGGGUGAGGAAUACAUCGGAAUCUACUUUUUCGUGGGGGAUAACGUAGGGAAACUUACGCUAAUACCGCAUACGACCUACGUGUGAAAGCAGGGGAUCUUCGGACCUUGCGCGAUUGAAUGAGCCGAUGUCGGAUUAGCUAGUUGGCGGGGUAAAGGCCCACCAAGGCGACGAUCCGUAGCUGGUCUGAGAGGAUGAUCAGCCACACUGGAACUGAGACACGGUCCAGACUCCUACGGGAGGCAGCAGUGGGGAAUAUUGGACAAUGGGCGCAAGCCUGAUCCAGCCAUACCGCGUGAGUGAAGAAGGCCUUCGGGUUGUAAAGCCCUUUUGUUGGGAAAGAAAAGAAGCAGGUUAAUACCCCGCUGUUCUGACGGUACCCAAAGAAUAAGCACCGGCUAACUUCGUG
rnacentral:rRNA from 1 species